UACGUAGGGACCAAGCGUUGUUCGGAUUUACUGGGCGUAAGGGCGCGUAGGCGGCAAUUCAAGUCAUCUGUGAAAUCUCCGGGCUUAACCCGGAACGGUCAGAUGAUACUGCUUUGCUAGAGUGCGGGAAGGGGCAAUCGGAAUUCUUGGUGUAGCGGUGAAAUGCGUAGAUAUCAAGAGGAACACCUGAGGUGAAGACGGGUUGCUGGGCCGACACUGACGCUGAUAGCGCGAAAGCCAGGGGAGCAAACGGG
rnacentral:rRNA from 1 species